GCUUCAGAAAGUGCCAGUAUUGGGAACUGGAGACUGCGGGUUCGAAUCCCGUCAGGUGCA
rnacentral:tRNA from 1 species